AACCGUCCGAGGGUCACUUGAUAAAUGAAAAAAGAUACAGAGAAGAUUAGCAUUUCCCCUGCAUAAGGAUGGAACUUUGAUCUUGAACGGUUUCUUCUUCGGAAGACAUUUUUUU
rnacentral:snRNA from 1 species